AGAUUAGAGUUUGAUCAUGGCUCAGAUUGAACGCUGGCGGAAUGCUUUACACAUGCAAGUCGAACGGUAACAGCAGAGCUUGCUCUGGCUGACGAGUGGCGGACGGGUGAGUAAUAUAUCGGAACGUGUCCAAUAAUGGGGGAUAACUAAUCGAAAGGUUGGCUAAUACCGCAUACGCCCUGAGGGGGAAAGCUGGGGAUCUUCGGACCUAGCGUUAAUGGAGCGGCCGAUACCUGAUUAGCUAGUUGGUGGGGUAAAAGCCUACCAAGGCAACGAUCAGUAGCUGGUCUGAGAGGACGACCAGCCACACUGGGACUGAGACACGGCCCAGACUCCUACGGGAGGCAGCAGUGGGGAAUUUUGGACAAUGGGGGCAACCCUGAUCCAGCCAUUCCGCGUGAGUGAAGAAGGCCUUCGGGUUGUAAAGCUCUUUCGCAAGGGAAGAAACGAUAUAGGUUAAUAGCCUAUGUUAAUGACGGUACCUUGACAAGAAGCACCGGCUAACUACGUGCCAGCAGCCGCGGUAAUACGUAGGGUGCAAGCGUUAAUCGGAAUUACUGGGCGUAAAGCGUGCGCAGGCGGUUUUGUAAGUCAGAUGUGAAAUCCCCGAGCUCAACUUGGGAACUGCGUUUGAAACUACAAGACUAGAAUAUGUCAGAGGGGGGUAGAAUUCCACGUGUAGCAGUGAAAUGCGUAGAGAUGUGGG
rnacentral:rRNA from 1 species